rnacentral:sRNA from 1 species
GACGCUUUGGGAAAUUGGAGCGUUAGUGGCAAACGGGUGCGUAACACGUGGGUGACCUACCCCAGAGUGGGGAACAACGAACGGAAAGGUUCGCUAAUACCGCAUAGGCUCGGCCUUUCAUUGGGCAGAGUAAAGUCGCAAGACGCUUUGGGAGGGACCCGCGGCCCAUCAGGUAGUUGGUGAGGUAAAAGCCCACCAAGCCGAGGGGGAAGUAGCUGGUAUGAGAGGACGAUCAGCCACAAUGCAUCUAUUUUUCCGGUCCAUACGGAGACGCGANGCAUUCUGCUCCUCAAGAUGGUNACUCAUCCAUCCGGAAGAUUUGCGG